rnacentral:rRNA from 1 species
CGCUUCUUGUACCCCCCCAAAAUAAGAGGUCUUGCCUGCCCUGUGACUAUUUGUUUAACGGCCGCGGUAUUUUAACCGUGCGAAGGUAGCGCAAUCACUUGUCUUUUAAAUAAAGACCCGUAUGAAUGGCAUAACGAGGACUUAGCUGUCUCCUCUUUCAAGUCAAUGAAACUGAUCUUUCCGUGCAGAAGCGGAAAUUUAAACAUAAGACGAGAAGACCCUAUGGAGCUUUAGACACUAUGACAGCUUACGUUAAACACUCUCAAAUAAAGAAAAGAAACUAAAUAAGCCCUGCCCUAAUGUCUUUGGUUGGGGCGACCACGGGGAAUUAAAUAACCCCCAUGUGGAACGGGGGAACUCCUCCUACAACUAAGAGUCACAACUCUAAAAAACAAAAAUUCUGACCAAUAAGAUCCGGCAAUGCCGAUCAACGGAUCAAGUUACCCUAGGGAUAACAGCGCAAUCCUCUUUUAGAGCUCAUAUCGACAAGGGGGUUUACGACCUCGAUGUUGGAUCAGGACAUCCUAAUGGUGUAGCCGCUAUUAAGGGUUCGUUUGUUCAACGAUUAAAGUCCU